CUCAACGGCAGACCAUUCCCUCCGCCCGGCUUCUCCAGCAGCAACUUGGGCCUUAGCACUAGCACAUUCUGUUUUGACCACACCCCGAAGACUUGGGAAGUGUUGCUCCAUCCUUAGAGUUGUCGAAUGCUGAAUCAAACUUCUGCCCAAAAUUUCUUGUGUCGACUGUGUGCAAGGCACGGUACCUGGAUCUUUAGUGGAGGAGAGACUAUGGCCACCUAAAUUAAAUACCUGAAAAUGCUUUUGAUGCUGUUGAACUUGGCCACAAUAAAAGCAAGCCUGUAAGCUGCAACUACUGAGCCCAAGUGCUGCGACUACUGAAGUCCCCCACCCUAGAAGCCGUGCUCUGCAACAGGAGACGCCACCACCAUGAGGAGCCCGUGCGCUGCAACCAGAGAGGAGCUCCAGAGACGCAGCAACAAAGACCCAGUGCAACCAAAAAUAAAUAAAUAAAAUUUAAAGAAAUACACAA